AGAGUUUGAUCAUGGCUCAGGAUGAACGCUGGCGGUAUGCCUAACACAUGCAAGUCGUACGAGAGUUUUUAACUCUAGUGGCGGACGGGUGAGUAACACGUAAGAAUUUACCUUCAGGAGGGGGAUAACAAUUGGAAACAAAUGCUAAUACCCCAUAUGCUUUCGAGUGAAAUGGAUUUAUAUUUAUCCGCCUAAAGAGAAGCUUGCGUCUGAUUAGCUUGUUGGUAAGGUAAAAGCUUACCAAGGCGACGAUCAGUAUCUGGUUUGAGAGGACGAUCAGACACACUGGAACUGAGACACGGUCCAGACUCCUACGGGAGGCAGCAGUGGGGAAUUUUCCGCAAUGGGCGAAAGCCUGACGGAGCAAUACCGCGUGAGGGAAGACUGCC
rnacentral:rRNA from 1 species